rfam:Brassica napus, WGS project CCCW01000000 data, contig: 30325
AGGCGGGGAUGAUGAAAAAAGAUUACCAUCAAACUUUGAGAGAUUCACAGCUCGUUGAUGUAAACUUCUUUAUUUAAUCUGAGCCU